GUGUUUACAAGCGAAAACAACGAACUCUCGUUUGAAAUAAAUCAACGGUCUUAUUAUAUCACUGCUAUACUUAUUCGAGCUCUGAGGUCACGUCUGGAAGAUUAAAAUAAUCGAGGACGUCAUUGGUUUUUUCUUGAGAUGAUAUUGAAAUUUUAGUACUUAAAAUAAACGACACAAUUUUCCAUUGGCAAUGACAGAUUCUAAUAAGUGUCAAUGUAGAAAGCGAUGUGAAAUAGCUGACAGCAAUAAAAUGUCAGAGAAGAAAAGGACACGAAAAUAUCAAGAAAGUUAAAAGAAGUUUUUUAAAAGACUAAAAAAUCAUCAAACUUACGAGAAAUUUAUUAAUUUAUAAAAAGAUAAAAGGAAAUCCCUACAGUGAAAGCCAAAAAUCAGCUUUUCUUGCCUGAAGUUGAAAUAAUCGACCAUCUUAUGUGUCCCAUGGAAAAAUUUUACGACGCAUUGUGUAUCGCAGCUUCCUCAGACCGACAUAACCGUUAUUGCCUUGUGACGCACCUGGUUUGAUCUGGCCUAGCAACACCUCAACAGUGACGAUAUACGUAUGUAAGAACAUAUCGUCAGCAAUGCUUGUCAAAUAGAGGCUUCCUGUAAUAUUAAAUCGAUAUGAUACGAUACGUAUGAUAAAUAUUAAUAUUUAUUAACACUUCAAGUUAACUAAUCUACAUCC